UACGGGGGGGGCAAGCGUUGUUCGGAUUUACUGGGCGUAAAGGGCGCGUAGGCGGCUUGUCAAGUCACUUGUGAAAUCUCUGGGCUUAACCCAGAACGGCCAAGUGAAACUGACAUGCUAGAGUGCGGAAGGGGCAAUCGGAAUUCUCGGUGUAGCGGUGAAAUGCGUAGAUAUCGAGAGGAACACCUGAGGUGAAGACGGGUUGCUGGGCCGACACUGACGCUGAGUGCGCGAAAGCCAGGGGAGCAAACGGG
rnacentral:rRNA from 1 species